ACACGGCGUUUAUCCAUCGUACUUUCCAGAAAGAUAGUUGUAUGUUUUAAUGUUUGGGAAUAUCGAUAGUUUCAUUUCUAGUUAUUAACCAGAGUACUUAAAAGCAUAGAGGAAGGAUGGUUGUGUACAGGAUUUGACCAUGUGGCUAUUGUUGGGAAGUUUCAAUCCGCAAUCAUUUAUCGAGCGUAGUUAACGCAUGGGUGCGCCAGUACACACGAAGUCAUGAGGUCGGCGUGUUGACAAUAUACAGGCAAUUGACUGCAGGUUGAGUAGGGUUAAAGGCAGCGCAGUUUAAAAGAUAGUGAUGUUCAGAGCCAACCUGACCAGAGUUACACAGUGUACACGUUCUUUCAUCAAAUGGGGUUCCAUCGUAUCUGCCAGUUUCAACUGGUAACCAGUGGUUAGCUGUUCGGAAUUUAAAGAGAACCCAUGCUUUCCCAAAACAGGACGAUGUUCGCAAAUUGAUGCUUGGCAAGACCUAUUUGAUUGAUUGCCUCUCCUAUUCCGACGUCUUUUCCAAGAUGGACUACACAAAUAAAUACACGUCAUUAAAAGAAACACAUAAUAAGUCCCAUAACGGUACACCAAACGGACUACAGGUCAACCAUCGGUCCGAUCCAUUCGUAAUUUCGUCUUUCUACUUGGCCGAUUGACCAUACGAGUCGGGUUAUAUGAUAUAUAAAAUAGGACUUGAGCUAGGUUGAUGAAACUUGAUAUGUGAA